GGCGUUACGGGGAAAAGCGGAGCUCCGGGUGACUCCGGCCCCCAGGGUCUGCCCGGGGUGCCCGGCGCGUUCGGCCAGAAGGGACACGGGGGCGUGAAGGUACGGCGACCUCCUGCAGAAGUGAAGAUGAAUAUGCAGAAAUUAAAGAAAAAUGUUUUUGUAAAAGAAAACAAGAAGGGUCAAACCAGUUUCUGAUCAAAGAUUUUUAGAUGCAUCCAGUUUGAAAACCAGAUUCUGUUCAUUUUAUGUAGACGUCUUGCAGAUUUAUCGUCAGAAGUUGAAUCUUGUCUUCAGGGAAACUCUGGAGAUCCGGGAGUCGUGGGUGUGAUGGGACCUCCAGGGAAGCAAGUGAGUGAAACACCAUCGAGGUUCCUGCAGAAGACUGGAGCGAGAACGGGACGUUUUUACUAGAACCGACCUGGAAUGUUCCAUUUGCUUCCAGGGGGAACGCGGCGAUCAGGGGGAGGUGGGGCCGGCUGGACCCCGAGGAGGACCCGGCGAGCGUGGAGAGAGAGGAGCUGAUGGACCUCCGGGACCCCCAGGAGCCCGGGGGACCAAAGGAGAUCCGGGUCUUCCGGGACUUCCUGGACCGGCGGGUUAUCGAGGCGAGAAGGGAGACCGGGGGGCAGUUGGUCUGAACGGUCCGAAGGGAGAGCAGGUACGUUCACUGAGCUGCGAGUCGGCGCAGGUGCCGCCGACUCGGACCUGAUUCCGAAACUGUGUCUGUCUCAAAGGGGUCUCCGGGAGCCGAGGGGACGCCGGGAGAGCGAGGAGACGUGGUGAGUGACCCGCAGGA
rnacentral:lncRNA from 1 species